UGAUGCUUCCGGAAUACUAAAAUAGAACUCUACACAGUUGUUCCAAAGCUGAAAGCACCUGAUGUGCAGCAAACAGACCUGCCCACAUGGGAGUCGGUGACAGCCCCCUGCCUGUGUGCAGGGCUGCAGCUACUCUGCAGAAGCCUACAGCCAGCCAGGCCCAGCUCUCAGCCCCAAGGCUAGCACACUAGCAUUUCACAGCCUACACUUGGAUCGUGUGUCUUCUGAGACAGUUUAGGGACCAUAUUGUUUGCGUCAUCCAUGUUGUUUCUAAAGGGAGAAACAUCUUUCUGUGUCCCAACAAGUAAGCUCCCUAUUUUGGGAGCACCCCUGCUUUGUAAGGUGUGUCCUCCUGCCCAGAGUGAGUCAUUCCUCACAGAGCCUGCAGCUGGCUCCUGCUCCCAGGUGCUUGGUGAUAAGGGGAAAUCAACAGAAACUGGCUGUUUCCCAACACUCACUUGCCGAUGACUAAACCCAGAAAUUGUGGGGUAGCCUUAGGUAAGGAGACGAAAGUUGAAAACUUAAGACCCGGAUCCUUCAGGCAUUUGAGACUGGCUGAGAAGGCAAGGCAUGCCAGAUCGUCUCUGCUCAGGCUGCCUCUGGAUCUGUUGGAUGGUUUGAAGCCUCCCCUGCAUUUUGUUCCCGAGACUGAGGAAUAGAGUCGUCUGAAAUGGUGGAGAUCUCAGCAACCCAGCCGAAGAGCACAGCCCUUGCGCUUCCUCCCGGGCUCUGCCCCCAGGACCCCAAGCAAGAUUCCAGCCUCUCUGAAGCACCAUUUCUUCCUCCAUGAAAUAGAACAUCGCCUGCCGAAGGAACUCAGAUGAGCAAAUGAUUUAUGUGGAAGUGCUUUGUGUGAUAGUUAAAUGCUAGAGACAUAAGUGAUCAUUUUUCAGUAAAAAAAAAAAUCCACUAUCAAGUCAGAAAGUAAAUCUUUAGGUAGAUUUGAA